AGGGAAAGAGAAAGACGACGCAGCUGUUCGAAAAGGAGAGGGAUAUGGGGAAGCAGGGGAUUCAGAGACGACGAGAUGCUAGAAAAUUAUGACCAACCCACUCACCAACUCUUACUUGUUAUUGGGAGCUUUAAAGUUUUGUCACAGAUUCUGGUGAAGACAAGCUUUAGAAAGCGUGGAGCGAGCUCUCCGGUCUGAGAGUCAGAGACAGGCCGGCAGGACUAGCGGGGGUCUGUGUUAGACUCCACAGCACGCGCUUCACGCUCUGGCUCAGCUGAUUGGCCGUGACGCGUGUUUCCCAAACCAUCACGUACUUCCGGUAACGAGUGGCGAUGGGGAGAGAAGAUGGAGGGAGGUAGGGAAGGUUCCGUUUAGACAUUCGCAGUCAACUGGCAGCGCUGGAAAGAUUGAAGACGAUCUGUCGGCUAAAUCUAAAACACAUGGGACAUCGCGCUCUGCUUGCUUACACGGUGCUGAGUGAGUCUCCACUCUCGCCUUCUCUUUUACUUCAAGAAAUCUGAAUAUGAAGCGAAAAGAUCCGUUGGCAACAGCUCUGAGCUCUACAAUCCACGCAAUCGGUGACAACACCCGGAACAUCAAUCUAACUACAACAACCUAAGUUAUGAACUGGAGUGACCAAGAUGGGUUCAAGCCCUGCAUUUUUUAUACUAAGCAUGUGCAAGUUCUCCUAGUGAUCACUCUGAAGAGAACCACUGAAACCUACUGCAUUGAAACUUAUUGGUGAAUGUCCUGUGAAUUUA